rnacentral:rRNA from 1 species
GUGACAAGAAAUAACAAUACAGGACUUUUUGGUUUUGUAAUUGGAAUGAGUUAAGUAUAAACCCCUUUACAAGUAUCAAUUGGAGGGCAAGUCUGGUGCCAGCAGCCGCGGUAAUUCCAGCUCCAAUAGCGUAUAUUAAAGUUGUUGCAGUUAAAAAGCUCGUAGUUGGAUUUCUGUUAAUAAUUUAUAUAAAAUAUUUUGAAUAUUUAUAUAACAUUAACAUAAUUCAUAUUACUAUAUUUUUUAGUAUAUGAAAUUUUACUUUGAGAAAAUUAGAGUGCUUAAAGCAGGCAUAUGCCUUGAAUACUCCAGCAUGGAAUAAUAUUAAAGAUUUUUAUCUUUCUUAUUGGUUCUAAGAUAAGAAUAAUGAUUAAUAGGGACAGUUGGGGGCAUUUGUAUUUAACAGUCAGAGGUGAAAUUCUUAGAUUUGUUAAAGACAAACUAAUGCGAAA